rnacentral:misc_RNA from 1 species
AACGCACCUUGCGCUCCUUGGUAUUCCGAGGAGCAUGCCUGUUUGAGUGUCAUUAAUAUAUCAACCUCUUCAGCUUUUUGCAUGAUGAGUGUUGGAUGUGGGGGAUAUUUUUGCUGGACUUGUAGAAUAUGAGGUCAGCUCCCCUAAAAUGCAUCAGCGAAACAAUUUGUUUACCGCUCAUUGGUGUGAUAACUAUCUACGCUAUUGACGGUGAAAGCAUGUUUAGCUCCUAACAGUCCAUUAACUUGGACAACCUCUUAUUAAUGUGACCUCAAAUCAGGUAGGACUACCCGCUGAACUUAA